AGUCGAGCGGGGGAGAUUGCUUCGGUAAUUGACCUAGCGGCGGACGGGUGAGUAAUACUUAGGAAUCUGCCUAUUAAUGGGGGACAACAUCUCGAAAGGGAUGCUAAUACCGCAUACGCCCUACGGGGGAAAGCAGGGGAUCACUUGUGACCUUGCGUUAAUAGAUGAGCCUAAGUCGGAUUAGCUAGUUGGUGGGGUAAAGGCCUACCAAGGCGACGAUCUGUAGCGGGUCUGAGAGGAUGAUCCGCCACACUGGGACUGAGACACGGCCCAGACUCCUACGGGAGGCAGCAGUGGGGAAUAUUGGACAAUGGGGGGAACCCUGAUCCAGCCAUGCCGCGUGUGUGAAGAAGGCCUUAUGGUUGUAAAGCACUUUAAGCGAGGAGGAGGCUCUCUUGGUUAAUACCCAAGAUGAGUGGACGUUACUCGCAGAAUAAGCACCGGCUAACUCUGUGCCAGCAGCCGCGGUAAUACAGAGGGUGCGAGCGUUAAUCGGAUUUACUGGGCGUAAAGCGUGCGUAGGCGGCUUUUUAAGUCGGAUGUGAAAUCCCCGAGCUUAACUUGGGAAUUGCAUUCGAUACUGGGAAGCUAGAGUAUGGGAGAGGAUGGUAGAAUUCCAGGUGUAGCGGUGAAAUGCGUAGAGAUCUGGAGGAAUACCGAUGGCGAAGGCAGCCAUCUGGCCUAAUACUGACGCUGAGGUACGAAAGCAUGGGGGAGCAACAGGAUUAGAUACCCUGGUAGUCCAUGCCGUNAACGAUGUCUACUAGCCGUUGGGGCCUUUGANGCUUUAGUGGCGCAGCUAACGCGAUAAGUAGACCCGCUGGGGAGUACNGUCGCA
rnacentral:rRNA from 1 species